CCUACGGGUGGCAGCAGUGGGGAAUAUUGGACAAUGGGCGAAAGCCUGAUCCAGCCAUGCCGCGUGUGUGAAGAAGGCCUUCGGGUUGUAAAGCACUUUCAGUGGGGAAGAAAGCCUUGGGGCUAAUACCCUCGAGGAAGGACAUCACCCACAGAAGAAGCACCGGCUAACUCCGUGCCAGCAGCCGCGGUAAUACGGAGGGUGCGAGCGUUAAUCGGAAUUACUGGGCGUAAAGCGCGCGUAGGCGGUCUGAUAAGCCGGUUGUGAAAGCCCCGGGCUCAACCUGGGAACGGCAUCCGGAACUGUCAGGCUAGAGUGCAGGAGAGGAAGGUAGAAUUCCCGGUGUAGCGGUGAAAUGCGUAGAGAUCGGGAGGAAUACCAGUGGCGAAGGCGGCCUUCUGGACUGACACUGACGCUGAGGUGCGAAAGCGUGGGUAGCAAACAGGAUUAGCUACCCUAGUAGUC
rnacentral:rRNA from 1 species